rnacentral:rRNA from 1 species
GGAAGUCUGGUGCCCGCAGCCGCGGCAAUUCCAGCUCCAAUAGCGUAUAUUAAAGUUGUUGCAGUUAAAAAGCUCGUAGUUGAAUUUCGGGAUCGACGGGUCGGUCGCGCCUCUGGUGUGUACUGGCCCUGUCGGUUUCUCCCUUCUGACGAACCACGAUGUCAUUAAUUUGGUGUCGUGGGGAAUCAGGACUGCUACUUUGAAAAAAUUAGAGUGUUUAAAGCAAGCACUCACUUGAAUACAUUAGCAUGGAAUAAUGAAAUAGGACGUUUGAUCUUAUUUUGUUGGUUUCUAAGAUCGACGUAAUGAUUAAUAGGGAUAGUUGGGGGCAUUAGUAUUCAAUUGUCAGAGGUGAAAUUCUUGGAUUUAUUGAAGACUAACUACUGCGAAAGCAUUUGCCAAGGAUGUUUUCAUUAAUCAAGAACGAAAGUUAGGGGAUCGAAGACGAUCAGAUACCGUCGUAGUCUUAACCAUAAACUAUGCCGACUAGGGAUCGGAUGAUGUUAAUUUUUUAAUGACUCAUUCGGCGCCUUACGGGAAAC